ensembl:snoRNA
GGUUAAUGAUGUAAUAUAUUAGCUGAACCCAAAGUUGAAGUGAGUUCUAAAAUUACACCAAGACCUU